UGGGGAAUAUUGGACAAUGGGCGCAAGCCUGAUCCAGCCAUGCCGCGUGAGUGAUGAAGGCCCUAGGGUUGUAAAGCUCUUUCACCGGUGAAGAUAAUGACGGUAACCGGAGAAGAAGCCCCGGCUAACUUCGUGCCAGCAGCCGCGGUAAUACGAAGGGGGCUAGCGUUGUUCGGAUUUACUGGGCGUAAAGCGCACGUAGGCGGACUUUUAAGUCAGGGGUGAAAUCCCGGGGCUCAACCCCGGAACUGCCUUUGAUACUGGAAGUCUUGAGUAUGGUAGAGGUGGGUGGAAUUCCGAGUGUAGAGGUGAGAUUCGUAGAUAUUCGGAGGAACACCAGUGGCGAAGGCGGCUCCCUGGACCAUUACUGACGCUGAGGUGCGAAAGCGUGGGGAGCAAACAGG
rnacentral:rRNA from 1 species